rnacentral:rRNA from 1 species
GACGAACGCUGGCGGCGUGCUUAACACAUGCAAGUCGAACGAUGAACCGGAGCUUGCUCUGGGGAUUAGUGGCGAACGGGUGAGUAACACGUGGGCAACCUGCCCCAGACACCGGGAUAACCAUUCGAAAGGAUGGCUAAUACCGGAUACGACCACUUCGGGCAUCCGAUGGUGGUGGAAAGGAUUCUGGUCUGGGAUGGGCCCGCGGCCUAUCAGCUUGUGGGUGGGGUAAUGGCCUACCAAGGCGACGACGGGUAGCCGGCCUGAGAGGGCGACCGGCCACACUGGGACUGAGACACGGCCCAGACUCCUACGGGAGGCAGCAGUGGGGAAUAUUGCGCAAUGGGCGAAAGCCUGACGCAGCGACGCCGCGUGAGGGACGAAGGUCUUCGGAUUGUAAACCUCUUUCAGCAGGGAUGAAGCGAAAGUGACAGUACCUGCAGAAGAAGCACCGGCUAACUACGUGCCAGCCGCCGCCGUAAUAC